rnacentral:rRNA from 1 species
AGUAGUUUGAUCAUGGCUACAGAACGACGCUGGCGGCAGGCUUAACACAUGCAAGUCGAACAGGUGUAGCAAUACAUCAGUGGCAGACGGGUGAGUAACACGUGGGAACCUUCCUAGAGGUACGGAACAACUCAGGGAAACUUGAGCUAAUACCGUAUACGCUCUUGCGAGGAAAGAUUUAUCGCCUUUAGACGGGCCCGCGUCGGAUUAGCUAGUUGGUGGGGUAACGGCCUACCAAGGCGACGAUCCGUAGCUGAUCUGAGAGGAUGAUCAGCCACACUGGGACUGAGACACGGCCCAGACUCCUACGGGAGGCAGCAGUGGGGAAUCUUGGACAAUGGGCGCAAGCCUGAUCCAGCCAUGCCGCGUGAGUGAAGAAGGCCUUCGGGUUGUAAAGCUCUUUUGCCAGGGACGAUAAUGACGGUACCUGGAGAAUAAGCCCCGGCAAACUUCGUG